rfam:Nomascus leucogenys chromosome 8, whole genome shotgun sequence.
GAAUAUGUUGGUGCAAAAGUAAUCGUGGUCUUUGCCAUUGAAAGUAAUGGCAAAGACCACGAUUACUUUUGCACCAACAUAUUC